GACGAACGCUGGCGGCGUGCUUAACACAUGCAAGUCGAACGGAAAGGCCCUGCUUUUGUGGGGUGCUCGAGUGGCGAACGGGUGAGUAACACGUGAGUAACCUGCCCUUGACUUUGGGAUAACUUCAGGAAACUGGGGCUAAUACCGGAUAGGAGCUCCUGCUGCAUGGUGGGGGUUGGAAAGUUUCGGCGGUUGGGGAUAGACUCGCGGCUUAUCAGCUUGUUGGUGGGGUAGUGGCUUACCAAGGCUUUGACGGGUAGCCGGCCUGAGAGGGUGACCGGCAACAUUGGGACUGAGAUACGGCCCAGACUCCUACGGGAGGCAGCAGUGGGGAAUAUUGCACAAUGGGCGGAAGCCUGAUGCAGCAACGCCGCGUGCGGGAUGACGGCCUUCGGGUUGUAAACCGCUUUCGCCUGUGACGAAGCGUGAGUGACGGUAAUGGGUAAAGAAGCACCGGCUAACUACGUG
rnacentral:rRNA from 1 species